GAUGAAGAACGUAGCGAAAUGCGAUAAGUAGUGUGAAUUGCAGAAUUCAGUGAAUCAUCGAGUCUUUGAACGCACAUUGCGCCCCCUGGUAUUCCGGGGGGCAUGCCUGUCCGAGCGUCAUUGCUGCCCUCAAGCACGGCUUGUGUGUUGGGCCCCGCCCCCCGGCUCCCGGGGGGCGGGCCCGAAAGGCAGCGGCGGCACCGCGUCCGGUCCUCGAGCGUAUGGGGCUUCGUCACCCGCUCCGUAGGCCCGGCCGGCGCCCGCCGGCGACCCCCCUCAAUCUUUUCAGGUUGACCUCGGAUCAGGUAGGGAUACCCGCUGAACUUAAGCAUACCAAUAAGCGGAGGA
rnacentral:misc_RNA from 1 species